rnacentral:rRNA from 1 species
CCUACGGGAGGCAGCAGUGAGGAAUAUUGGUCAAUGGACGCAAGUCUGAACCAGCCAUGCCGCGUGCAGGAAGACGGCUCUAUGAGUUGUAAACUGCUUUUGUACGAGGGUAAACGCAGAUACGCGUAUCUGUCUGACAGUAUCGUACGAAUAAGGAUCGGCUAACUCAGUGCCAGCAGCCGCGGUAAGACGGAGGAUUCAAGCGUUAUCCGGAUUUAAUGGGGUUAAAGGGUGCGUAGGCGGGCUGGUAAGUUAGAUGUGAAAUCCUGAGGCUUAACUUCAGAAUUGCCUCUGAUACUGUUCGGCUAGAGAGUAGUUGCGGUAGGCGGAAUGUAUGGUGUAGCGGUGAAAUGCUUAGAGAUCAUACAGAACACCGAUUGCGAAGGCAGCUUACCAAGCUACUUCUGACGUUGAGGCACGAAAGCGUGGGGAGCAAACAGGAUUAGAUACCCGAGUAGUC